rnacentral:rRNA from 1 species
GGACGCUGACGAGUGGCGAACGGGUGAGUAAUACAUCGGAACGUGCCCAGUCGUGGGGGAUAACUACUCGAAAGAGUAGCUUAAUACCGCAUACGAUCUGAGGAUGAAAGCGGGGGACCUUCGGGCCUCGCGCGAUUGGAGCGGCCGAUGGCAGAUUAGGUAGUUGGUGGGAUAAAAGCUUACCAAGCCGACGAUCUGUAGCUGGUCUGAGAGGACGACCAGCCACUGGGACUGAGACACGGCCCAGACUCCUACGGGAGGCAGCAGUGGGGAAUUUUGGACAAUGGGCGAAAGCCUGAUCCAGCAAUGCCGCGUGCAGGAUGAAGGCCUUCGGGUUGUAAACUGCUUUUGUACGGAACGAAAAAGCUUCUCCUAAUACGAGAGGCCCAUGACGGUACGGUAA